rnacentral:rRNA from 1 species
AUUGACCGCUGGCGGCAGGCCUAACACAUGAAAGUCGAGCGGAGCGGCGGACGGGUGAGUAAUUCCUAGGAAUCUGCCUGGUAGUGGGGGAUAACGUCAGGAAACGGGCGCUAAUACCGACUACUAUCAGAUGAGCCUAGGUCGGGUGAGCUAGUUGGUGGGGUAACGGCCUACCAAGGAGAGGCUCCGUAACUGGUCUGAGAGGAUGAGCAUUCACACUGGAACGUAGACAAGGUCCAGACUCCUACGUGAGGCAGAAGUGGGGAAUAUUGGACAAUGGGCGAAAGCCUGAGCCAGCCAGGCCGCGUGUGUGAAGAAGGUCUUCGGAGUGUAAAGCACUUUAAGUUGGGAGGCGGUACCAACAGAAUAAGCACCGGCUAACUUCGUGCCAGCAGCCGCGGUAAUAC